GGAUCCAGACUUUGAUUAUGGCUCAGGAUGAACGCUAGCUACAGGCUUAACACAUGCAAGUCGAGGGGAAACGACAUCGAAAGCUUGCUUUUGAUGGGCGUCGACCGGCGCACGGGUGAGUAACGCGUAUCCAACCUGCCCACCACUUGGGGAUAACCUUGCGAAAGUAAGACUAAUACCCAAUGACGUCUCUAGAAGACAUCUGAAAGAGAUUAAAGAUUUAUCGGUGAUGGAUGGGGAUGCGUCUGAUUAGCUUGUUGGCGGGGUAACGGCCCACCAAGGCGACGAUCAGUAGGGGUUCUGAGAGGAAGGUCCCCCACAUUGGAACUGAGACACGGUCCAAACUCCUACGGGAGGCAGCAGUGAGGAAUAUUGGUCAAUGGACGAGAGUCUGAACCAGCCAAGUAGCGUGCAGGAAGACAGCCCUAUGGGUUGUAAACUGCUUUUAUAAGGGAAUAAAGUGAGUCUCGUGAGACUUUUUGCAUGUACCUUAUGAAUAAGGACCGGCUAAUUCCGUGCCAGCAGCCGCGGUAAUACGGAAGGUCCGGGCGUUAUCCGGAUUUAUUGGGUUUAAAGGGAGCGUAGGCCGGAGAUUAAGCGUGUUGUGAAAUGUAGACGCUCAACGUCUGCACUGCAGCGCGAACUGGUUUCCUUGAGUACGCA
rnacentral:rRNA from 1 species